rnacentral:lncRNA from 1 species
UCAAUUGCCAAUAACUCCAAUUUUGUGAGUGUGUACAUCUAGGCACGCCAACUUUCUCAAUCAGCAAUUAAUCAACUCAUUUCCACUUAGUCUCGUGGACACCUGAUGGUGACUUGCCACAUAAAAUUUUGGGGGUAUAAGAUCAAAUUGCAAUAGAAUGUUCAACUGACAUUAUGGAUACGAGCUGAAGUGUUAGACGUGCAUACUCG